UCCGGUUUAUCACCGACAGUUUCUCUAGGGUGCUCAGCGUUACCUGUUAGCAACUAAAGAUAAGGGUUGCGCUCGUUGCGGGACUUAACCCAACAUCUCACGACACGAGCUGACGACAGCCAUGCAGCACCUCUGCGCAAGUCCCCGAAGGGAAGACCGUAUCUCUACAGUUGUCCUGCGCAGUUCAAACCCCGGUAAGGUUCUUCGCGUUGCGUCGAAUUAAACCACAUGCUCCACCGCUUGUGCGGGCCCCCGUCAAUUCCUUUGAGUUUCAGUCUUGCGACCGUACUCCCCAGGCGGGACACUUAUCGUGUUAACUACGGCACUGAGGGACUCAAUACCCCCAACACCAAGUGUCCAUCGUUUACGGCUAGGACUA
rnacentral:misc_RNA from 1 species